rnacentral:tRNA from 1 species
GGGCCCGUCGUCUAGCCAGGAUAGGACGCCGGCCUGCGGAGCCGGUAGUCCGGGGUUCAAAUCCCCGCGGGCCCGCCA